rnacentral:rRNA from 1 species
UUAUUGGAGAGUUUGAUCCUGGCUCAGGAUGAACGCUGGCGGCGUGCCUAAUACAUGCAAGUCGAGCGAAUGGAUUAAGAGCUUGCUCUUAUGAAGUUAGCGGCGGACGGGUGAGUAACACGUGGG